GAUGAACGCUGGCGGCGUGCCUAAUACAUGCAAGUCGAACGAAACUUCUUUAUCACCGAGUGCUUGCACUCACCGAUACAGAGUUGAGUGGCGAACGGGUGAGUAACACGUGGGCAACCUGCCCAAAAGAGGGGGAUAACACUUGGAAACAGGUGCUAAUACCGCAUAACCAUAGUUACCGCAUGGUAACUAUGUAAAAGGUGGCUAUACUACCGCUUUUGGAUGGGCCCGCGGCGCAUUAGCUAGUUGGUAGGGUAAAGGCUUACCAAGGCAAUGAUGCGUAGCCGAAUUGAGAGGUUGAUCGGCCACAUUGGGACUGAGACACGGCCCAAACUCCUACGGGAGGCAGCAGUAGGGAAUCUUCCACAAUGGGCGAAAGCCUGAUGGAGCAACGCCGCGUGGGUGAAGAAGGUCUUCGGAUCGUAAAACCCUGUUGUUAGAGAAGAAAGUGCGUGAGAGUAACUGUCCACGUUUCGACGGUAUCUAACCAGAAAGCCACGGCUAACUACGUG
rnacentral:rRNA from 1 species